rnacentral:rRNA from 1 species
CCCUUAGAUGUUCUGGGCCGCACGCGUGCUACACUGAGUGGAUCAGCGGGUCAGGUUGCGCGAAAGCGUUUCCUAAUCUUUAAAUCCGCUCGUGAUGGGGAUUGACGGUUGCAAUUUUCUGUCAUGAACGAGGAAUACCUUGUAAGCGCGGGUCAUCAUCCCGCGCUGAAUACGUCCCUGCCCUUUGUACACACCGCCCGUCGCUCCUACCGAUUGAGUGGCCCGGUGAGGCUUUGGGAUCUGAGCGGAAAGAGCGUUUCGCUGUUUCUGCUCGGAAAACUCAGUCGAACCUUAUCAUUUAGAGGAAGGAGAGGUCGUAACA